rnacentral:rRNA from 1 species
GUCGAACGAUGAUGCCCAGCUUGCUGGGCGGAUUAGUGGCGAACGGGUGAGUAAUACGUGAGUAACCUGCCCUUGACUCUGGGAUAAGCCUGGGAAACUGGGUCUAAUACUGGAUACUACCUCUUACCGCAUGGUGGGUGGUGGAAAGGGUUUUACUGGUUUUGGAUGGGCUCACGGCCUAUCAGCUUGUUGGUGGGGUAAUGGCUCACCAAGGCGACGACGGGUAGCCGGCCUGAGAGGGUGACCGGCCACACUGGGACUGAGACACGGCCCAGACUCCUACGGGAGGCAGCAGUGGGGAAUAUUGCACAAUGGGCGGAAGCCUGAUGCAGCGACGCCGCGUGAGGGAUGACGGCCUUCGGGUUGUAAACCUCUUUCAGUAGGGAAGAAGCGAGAGUGACGGUACCUGCAGAAGAAGCGCCGGCUAACUACGUGCCAGCAGCCGCGGUAAUACGUAGGGCGCAAGCGUUGUCCGGAAUUAUUGGGCGUAAAGAGCUCGUAGGCGGUUUGUCGCGUCUGCUGUGAAAGCCCGGGGCUCAACCCCGGGUCUGCAGUGGGUACGGGCAGACUAGAGUGCAGUAGGGGAGACUGGAAUUCCUGGUGUAGCGGUGAAAUGCGCAGAUAUCAGGAGGAACACCGAUGGCGAAGGCAGGUCUCUGGGCUGUUACUGACGCUGAGGAGCGAAAGCAUGGGGAGCGAACAGGAUUAGAUACCCUGGUAGUCCAUGCCGUAAACGUUGGGCACUAGGUGUGGGGGACAUUCCACGUUUUCCGCGCCGUAGCUAACGCAUUAAGUGCCCCGCCUGGGGAGUACGGCCGCAAGGCUAAACUCAGUU